UAAGUCAACGGUGCAGUCAACGGUGAAG
rnacentral:piRNA from 1 species